rnacentral:rRNA from 1 species
GAUGAACGCUAGCGGCAGGCUUAACACAUGCAAGUCGAGGGGCAGCACGGGUAGCAAUACCUGGUGGCGACCGGCGCAAGGGUGCGUAACGCGUGAGCAACAUGCCCUAUACAGGGGGAUAAUCCAGGGAAACUUGGUCUAAUAUCCCAUAGUAUUUAGAGGAGGCAUCUUCUAUAAAUUAAAGCUUCGGUGGUAUAGGAUUGGCUCGCGUGACAUUAGCUAGAUGGUGAGGUAACGGCUCACCAUGGCAAUGAUGUCUAGGGGUUCUGAGAGGAAGGCCCCCAACUGGGACUGAGACACGGCCCAGACUCCUACGGGAGGCAGCAGUGAGGAAUAUUGGACAAUGGAUGGAAAUCUGAUCCAGCCAUGCCGCGUGCAGGAAGACAGCCCUAUGGGUUGUAAACUGCUUUUAUAUGGGAGCAAUAAGGUCUACGUGUAGACUGAUGAGAGUACCAUAUGAAUAAGC